rnacentral:rRNA from 1 species
GGGAACUCGGCAAAUUGACACCGUAACUUCGGGAUAAGGUGUGCCACUGAGGGUGAAGAGCCUUGCGCUCGUAAGCCUUCGGGGGUUGCAACAAAGAGGCGGUAGCGACUGUUUACCAAAAACACAGGCCUGUGCGAAGCCGUAAGGCGACGUAUACGGGUUGACGCCUGCCCGGUGCCGGAAGGUUAAGGGGAGUGGUCAGCGAAAGCGAAGCUGCGAACCGAAGCCCCGGUAAACGGCGGCCGUAACAAUAACGGUCCUAAGGUAGCGAAAUUCCUUGUCGGGUAAGUUCCGACCUGCACGAAUGGCGUAACGACUUCCGCGCUGUCUCGAUCACGGUCUCAGCGAAAUUGACAUUGGGGUGAAGAUGCCCCAUACCCGCAGCAAGACGGAAAGACCCUGUGAACCUUUACUCUAACUUGGCAGCGACAUUCGGUUCAGCUUGUGUAGGAUAGGUGGGAGACGAUGAAGCGGGGGCGCCAGCCUUCGUGGAGUCAACGUUGAAAUACCACCCUGGUUGUGCUGGAUGUCUAACCCGGCCCUUGUGGCGGGGACACUGCCUGGCGGGGAGUUUGACUGGGGCGGUCGCCUCCCAAACAGUAACGGAGGCGCGCAAAGAUUCCCUCAGCGUGAUCGGAAACCACGCGCAGAGUGCAAAGGCAGAAGGGAGUUUGACUGCAAGAUCGACAGAUCGAGCAGGUGCGAAAGCAGGCCUUAGUGAUCCGGCGGUCCCACAUGGGAGGGCCGUCGCUCAUCGGAUAAAAGGUACUCCGGGGAUAACAGGCUUAUCACGCCCAAGAGUUCACAUCGACGGCGUGGUUUGGCACCUCGAUGUCGGCUCAUCGCAUCCUGGGGCUGGAGCAGGUCCCAAGGGUUUGGCUGUUCGCCAAUUAAAGCGGUACACGAGCUGGGUUCAAAACGUCGUGAGACAGUUUGGUCCCUAUCUGCUGUGGGCGCAGGAGAGUUGAGAGACGCUGUCCUUAGUACGAGAGGACCGGGAUGGACGUUCCUCUGGUGUUCCGGUUGUCGCGCCAGCGGCAUAGCCGGAUAACCAUGAACGGAAGGGAUAACCGCUGAAAGCAUCUAAGUGGGAAGCCCAUCUCCAGAUAAACUCUCCCUUGAGGGCCCAGAAAGACCAUCUGGUUGAUAGGCGGGGCGUAUAAACGCAGCAAUGCGUGCGCGGACCCGUACUAAUCGCCCGAACGACUUGACCCC